CACAGUGGUCUAGCGGUUAGAACGCUGGCCUUGUAAUCCUGGGGUCUCGGGUUCGAUUCCCGGCGGUG
rfam:Zootermopsis nevadensis contig15858, whole genome shotgun sequence.